UACGUAGGGGGCGAGCGUUGUCCGGAUUUACUGGGCGUAAAGCGCGUGUAGGCGGCCGAAUAAGUUGGGUGUGAAAGCUCGGGGCUCAACCCCGAGUCUGCCAUGCGAACUGGUGGACUUGAGCACUGUAGAGGCAGGUGGAAUUCCGGGUGUAGCGGUGGAAUGCGUAGAGAUCCGGAAGAACACCGGUGGCGAAGGCGGCCUGCUGGGCAGUUGCUGACGCUGAGGCGCGACAGCGUGGGGAGCAAACAGG
rnacentral:rRNA from 1 species